AUGGGUCGCACGAAGCACGCGGUGGCGGCGACGACGGAGACGAAGAAGCGGCUCCGCUUCGAGCUAUCCCCGCGAUGGAGGCCGCCGCCGCCGAUGCGCCAGGUACCGCCGGAGCCGCAGCCGCAGCCGGAGAAGAAGAAGAAGCGGGCGUACCGGUUCCGGCCGGGCACGGUGGCGCUGCGGGAGAUCAGGAAGUACCAGAAGUCCACCGAGCCGCUCAUCCCCUUCGCGCCCUUCGUCCGCCUGGUUAAGGAGAUCACCAACGACCUCACGAAGGGAGAGCUGAACCACUGGACUCCUCAGGCGCUCAUCUCGUUGCAAGAGGCUGCAGAGUAUCACAUAGUCGAUGUAUUUGAAGAGGCAAAUCUAUGUGCCAUCCAUGCUAAGCGUGUUACCAUCAUGCAAAAGGACAUACAGCUUGCGAGGCGUAUCGGGGGGAGAUGGCUUUGGUGA
rnacentral:rRNA from 1 species